rnacentral:rRNA from 1 species
AUACGUAGGGUGCGAGCGUUAAUCGGAAUUACUGGGCGUAAAGCGUGCGCAGGCGGUUUUGUAUGACAGAGGUUAAAUCCCUGGGCUCAACCUGGGAACUGCAUUUGUGACUGCAAGGCUAGAGUACGGCAGAUGGGGAUGGAAUUCCGGGUGUAGUAGUGAAAUGCGUAGAUAUGAGGAGGAACACCGGUGGCGAAGGCAAUCCCCUGGGCCUGUUCUGACGCUCAUGCACGAAAGCGUGGGGAGCAAACAGUGUUAGAUCCCCUGGUGGUCCACGCUCAAAACGAUGUCAACUGGUUGUGGGGUAUUCAUUGCCUCAGGGACGAAGCUAACGCGUGAAGUUGACCGCCUGGGGAGUACGGCCGCAAGGUUGAAACUCAAAGGAAUUGACGGGG